GUUUUUUCUUUUUUGACCGCUCCUCUCCUUCGUGGUUUUGCUUCUUUAUCUCGGCGUCUCCUCUUCCGCCUCUUCGUUAGCCCUCUCUAUUAAGAGGAUUUUGACUCUUCGUUGCUGUCUCUUCGUUUUGCGUAAACGCACCUCGCCUAUCCCGUCAAACGCCUCGGCCAUACCAUCAGACGCGUUUUUAUGGAAUUUGUGAAAAAAAAAAGGUUUUUUUUAGAGGUUAUUAGGGCGGAGCCAGGGAAGAAGAAGGAGGGGUCGUGGCAAUGUGGAGGGUUUACUCGCUGAAGGAGCUUCAAUCGGCGACAAACAGCUUCGAUUACAACAGAAAAAGAUAUUCUUCUUAUUUUCAUCAUCAAAGUCUGCAAGGAAUUAGGGUUCUUCAAGUUAUCAACCAUGCCAUUCCGAACAAUGUUAUUGCCCAAAUGGAGGCUGCAGGCUUCGACUUCUUCGCUCUUCUGGCCUAGGAGAAGCAGAAAUCUGGGCCACUGACCCCAUUGGGCUAUGAAAUAAAGUACAAAUAUAGGGUUCAAUGCUGGUCAAAAGAGUUGUAGUACCUCCUCUUGCAUGCAAACAACCAUUUUUUCUCUCAAAAAGUGAAGAUGAUGAGUAGAAAGGAUCCAUUAAAAUUCAGGUAAUCGUCUAGAGGAUGUGAAAGUAAUAUCGACAUACUGGGCUCAACCAGUGGCAUAUACUGUUAAAUUAUGCAGCUAAUUAGAUCAAAUUCAUGAGUUUUAUAAUAAGGUACUAACAAGGAUUUUUUUAUAUCAAAACCAACAAUAGAGGGCUUCUAUUUUAGGGAGUGAGUAAUUUGAUGGAUUGUUUAUUGUGCUUAGUGCAAUCUCUUUACAAAGCAGUGCACUCUCUGGCUAGAUACAGCUUGGCUCCAAUUGGUUUAAUUUUUUUCGCCCCUUUUAAUACUCAUCUAAAUUUGUGCUUAUCUUGGCUUUGCCAUCGAGAUAAUAUAUGUCAUAGAAAUUGACUUGGUAUAAACUUAUUACCCUUAGUAAUAAAUUUGUUUUUUUUUUUAA